rnacentral:rRNA from 1 species
GUAGGUGGCAAGCGUUGUCCGGAAUUAUUGGGCGUAAAGCGCGCGCAGGCGGUCCUUUAAGUCUGAUGUGAAAGCCCACGGCUCAACCGUGGAGGGUCAUUGGAAACUGGGGGACUUGAGUACAGAAGAGGAAAGCGGAAUUCCAAGUGUAGCGGUGAAAUGCGUAGAGAUUUGGAGGAACACCAGUGGCGAAGGCGGCUUUCUGGUCUGUAACUGACGCUGAGGCGCGAAAGCGUGGGGAGCAAACAGGGAUUAGAUACCCUGGUAGUCCACGCCGUAAACGAUGAGUGCUAAGUGUUAGGGGGUUUCCCGCCCCCUUAGUGCUGCAGCUAACACAUUAAGCACUCCGCCUGGGGAGUACGGCCGCAAGGCUG